GCGGAAGCUUUAGAGACCAUCUACGAAUUAGUGAUCCAACUAGGCGUAUGAAUUCGUGCUCCGGUCUCUUGCCCUGUCUCCAUAAAGGAAGAAGAUCUCAUCCCCUCCGUGCGUUGAACUUCGAAGAACGAAGAUCGUCAACGCUUCGAUCGCUGAUUCAUGGGUAAUCUCUCUCGGCCUUUUGACCUCCUGUUCAAAGUGUUUUUUAGGGUUAUCUCUCUUAAUCACUGAAAGUAAUUGUUUGUGUAAGCAUUUUCUGUGCGAUUGAGUUAGCUAUGCAAGUGCAGAAAAUUUCAAGUUUGUUGUCGCUCAGAAUUACUUUCUUCGAGCAACAGAGGUUGAUUUACAGAGGCAGGAUUUUGAAGGACGACCAAACCCUAGAUAGCUAAGGACUACGGAAGGGAAAAUAUGGCUUUGAUCUACUGGAGAUGGCUUUGAUUGUGCAUAUUUUUGGGGCGUUUUGAUGUUCCUAACAUUUGGAAGAAAAAGGAGUUUGUGGUUGUGUGCAUGUGUUUGGAUCUUAUAUAUAAAUGUGAGUACAUUCUUUCCCUUGCGCUAUUCUGGAUCGUUGGGUUUUUCUGAUCUUCUGGAGAUGGUUUUGUAUAUGGUGUGUAAUUUUUUUUUUGGAGGAAGGAAAAAUAUUGCUUUCGCAACACAUGGAGCUCAAUAUCACACGAUAAGACCAAAAAAUGGUUUUGAAAAUUGAUUGGGGUAUCAAGAGAUUAAUGAUAGCUAGCUUGUGUUUAUCCAAAGGACAUCUUUAAGCUGCACCUCAGGCAGACAUGAUGAAGAAGGAUUCUGAUUUCAUCGAGUUGCUCGAGGGCGAGCUCAGAAAUUCAAAAGGAUUUUUAGUAGAGAAAGAGGAAGAGUACAUCAUCAUCAACUUCAUGCUGCAUUAAGUUUUGGGCCUAGGUACCCAUGAUAUUUGGGUUUGAGCAGAUAGGGUUUUAUGUUUGUGAAAUUUUCAGAUCAAGGAUUCAGAUAUUCUAAAGAGGCUGAUGGUGCUUUGGAUAAAGCGAGAAAAGACAAGAAGAGGCACCUUGAAGACACUGAAUCUUUUCUUCUUAAGAAGAGGAAGGUAAUGACGAAACUUUGACAAGAAAUACAUUGACUAGCAUAAUUGCCCUUUAACAAGGAUAUAUGAACCUUUUUAUAAGUUCUUGCGAAAAAGUUAACAUGGACAUUGAUUUUAGAUGGUAAUUACCUCUGUAGUUAAACUUUUUUGCAGUAAUAGCAGCUUAAAGAAGAGAUUGAAAGGUCUAUGUCACACAAUUGGCUUUGCUCUUGCCUAAGUAUAACCUGAGGGCCAAGUUUCAUGUAGAAUGUCUGAUGAGUUUGAACAAAUUUCUUGCUGUUUUGUGGGCACUUUUUUCUUUCUAAGGCAUUUACUGAGUUUAACUAGCAGAGAAAGAAAAAGGAAGAGGGGCAAGGCAACAUAUGGUGCAGAUACACACCGCUACAGAUUUCAUUUCUUAAUUGAGGGCCUGAGGUGUAUUUCUUUUUUAUGCUCCAAUUUGGAAGCUGAAAUGGGCCAUCUGUUUGGCUUGUUUGGUCUAUGUUUUGGACAUAAACUCUUUCCGACAAUUAGAUAUGGAGUAUUUUUUUGUACUCUUAGCGUUCAUGAUAAUACUGAAUCUA